rnacentral:rRNA from 1 species
UACGGAGGGGGCUAGCGUUGUUCGGAAUUACUGGGCGUAAAGCGCACGUAGGCGGCUUUGUAAGUUAGAGGUGAAAGCCCAGGGCUCAACCCUGGAAUUGCCUUUAAGACUGCAUCGCUUGAACAUCGGAGAGGUAAGUGGAAUUCCGAGUGUAGAGGUGAAAUUCGUAGAUAUUCGGAAGAACAUCGGUGGCGAAGGCGACUUACUGGACGAUUGUUGACGCUGAGGUGCGAAAGCGUGGGGAGCAAACAGG